UAGGGAAUCUUCGGCAAUGGACGGAAGUCUGACCGAGCAACGCCGCGUGAGUGAAGAAGGUUUUCGGAUCGUAAAGCUCUGUUGUUAGAGAAGAACGUUGGUAGGAGUGGAAAAUCUACCAAGUGACGGUAACUAACCAGAAAGGGACGGCUAACUACGUGCCAGCAGCCGCGGUAAUACGUAGGUCCCGAGCGUUGUCCGGAUUUAUUGGGCGUAAAGCGAGCGCAGGCGGUUCUUUAAGUCUGAAGUUAAAGGCAGUGGCUUAACCAUUGUACGCUUUGGAAUCCGGAGGAGUUGAGUGCAGAAGGGGAGAGUGGAAUUCCAGGUGUAGCGGUGAAAUGCGUAGCUAUAUGUAGGAACACCGGUGGUGAAAGCGGCUCUCUUGUCUGUAACUGACGCUGAGGCUCGAAAGCGUGCGGAGCAAUCAGG
rnacentral:rRNA from 1 species